CAGCCGCCACGGGAAUACGUAGGUGGAAAGCGUUGUCCGGAAUUAUUGGGCGUAAAGGGAGCGCAGGCGGACAUAUAAGUCCAUCUUAAAAGUGCGGGGCUCAACCCCGUGAGGGGAUGGAAACUGUAUGCCUUGAGUGCAGGAGAGGAAAGCGGAAUUCCCAGUGUAGCGGUGAAAUGCGUAGAUAUUGGGAGGAACACCAGUGGCGAAGGCGGCUUUCUGGACUGUAACUGACGCUGAGGCUCGAAAGCCAGGGGAGCGAACGGGAUUAGAUACCCGCGUAGUCCCUGUCUCUUAUACC
rnacentral:rRNA from 1 species